GCUCCAUUGCCUUUCCCUCUGUUGCGAUAAGAUGGAGGGGAACAAAGAGAAGAGGAGGGAGGAGAGAGAAAGACAGAAAGAAAGAGAGAAGAGAGGGAAAUCACAGUCACUGACAGCCCUGCCCUGAAACAACAACCAUGUUGUUCUUCCAGCUCCAGGGGCAAGCUCUCAGCUUUAUAUCCUCCCCUUUCUGUUGUUCUCCCUCUCAGCUUUAUAUCCUCCCCUUUCUGUUGUUCACCCUCACAGCUUUAUAUCCUCCCCCUUCUGUUGUUCACCCUCACAGCUUUACAUCCUCCCCUUUCUGUUGUUCUCCCUCUCAGCUUUACAUCCUCCCCUUUCUGUUGUUCACCCUCACAGCUUUACAUCCUCCCCUUUCUGUUGUUCUCCCUCUCAGCUUUAUAUCCUCCCCUUUCUGUUGUUCACCCUCACAGCUUUACAUCCUCCCUUUCUGUUGUUCUCCCUCUCAGCUUUAUAUCCUCCCCUUUCUGUUAUUCUCCCUCACAGCUUUAUAUCCUCCCCUUUCUGUUGUUCUCCCUCUCAGCUUUAUAUCCUCCCCUUUCUGUUGUUCUCCCUCUCAGCUUUAUAUCCUCCCCUUUCUGUUGUUCUCCCUCUCAGCUUUAUAUCCUCCCCUUUCUGUUGUUCUCCCUCUCAGCUUUAUAUCCUCCCCUUUCUGUUGUUCACCCUCUCAGCUUUAUAUCCUCCCCUUUCUGUUGUUCUCCCUCUCAGCUUUAUAUCCUCCCCUUUCUGUUGUUCUCCCUCACAGCUUUACAAUCUCCCCUUUCUGCUGUUCUCCCUCUCAGCUUUACAUCCUCCCAUUUCUGUUGUUCACCCUCUCAGCCUUAUAAACUCCCAUUUCUGUUGUUCUCCCUCACAGCUUUACAUCCUCCCCUUUCUGUUGUUCUCCCUCUCCGCUUUAUAUCCUCCCCUUUCUGUUGUUCACCCUCACAGCUUUACAUCCUCCCCUUUCUGUUGUUCUCCCUCACAGCUUUAUAUCCUCCCCUUUCUGUUGUUCACCCUCACAGCUUUACAUCCUCCCAUUUCUGUUGUUCUCCCUCUCAGCUUUAUAUCCUCCCAUUUCUGUUGUUCUCCCUCACAGCUUUACAUCCUCCCAUUUCUGUUGUUCUCCCUCUCAGCUUUAUAUCCUCCCAUUUCUGUUGUUCACCCUCUCAGCUUUAUAUCCUCCCAUUUCUGUUGUUCUCCCUCUCAGCUUUACAUCCUCCCCUUUCUGUUGUUCUCCCUCUCAGCUUUACAUCCUCCCCUUUCUGUUGUUCUCCCUCACAGCUUUAUAUCCUCCCCUUUCUGUUGUUCUCCCUCUCAGCUUUACAUCCUCCCCUUUCUGUUGUUCUUCCUCUCACACUCAUCCUCUCACACUCAUCCUCUCCCUCUCAUACCCAUCCUCUCCCUCUCACACUCAUCAUCUCCCUCUCACAUUCAUCCUCUCCCUCUCACAUUCAUCCUCAUCCUCUCACACUCAUCCUCUCCCUCUCACAUUCAUCCUCUCCCUCUCACAUUCAUCCUCAUCCUCCUACACUCAUCCUCUCCCUCUCACAUUCAUCCUCUCCCUCUCACAUUCAUCCUCAUCCUCUCACACUCAUCCUUUCACAUUUAUCCUCUCCCUCUAUCUCUUAUCAUCUCCCUCUCAUCCUCUCAUCCUCUCACUCACACUCAUCCUCUCCCAUUCUCUCAUGGCACAUCAUAUGAAAAGACAAACACCCCCACUCGCAAACACUGCACAGUGAAACACCAUAGACACAUACACACUGCACAGUGAAACACAACAGACACACACUGCACAGUGAAACACAAGACACACGCUGCACAGUGAAACACAACAGACACACACUGCACAGUGAAACACCACAUACACACACUGCACAGUGAAACACAACAGACACACACUGCACAGUGAAACACCACAGACAGUUAUAAGUAUGUAAAAGCUAUGCCUCUGCUAAUCUAAUCAUAAGAAUGAAGAAGGAUGGAAGUUCUGGUCACAGGCAAUGAGGAGAGAGGUCAAAGAGAGGAGAGGAAUGACAUGGCAGAGAGAGAGGGAGAGAGAGGAGAGGAAUGACAUGGCAGAGAGAGAGGGAGAGAGAGGAGAGGAAUGACAUGGCAGAGAGAGAGGGAGAGAGAGGGAGAGAGAGGAGAGGAAUGACAUGGCACAGAGAGAGGGAGAGAGAGGUCAAAGAGAGGAGAGGAAUGAUAUAGAGAGAGAGGGAGAGAGAGGAGAGGAAUAACAUGGCAGAGAGAGAGAGAGAGAGGUCAACGAGAGGAGAGGAAUGACAUGGCAAGAGAGAGGGAGAGAGAGAGGUCAAAGAGAGGAGAGGAAUGACAUGGCAGAGAGAGAGAGAGGGGAGAGGGAGAGAGAGAUCAAAGAGAGGAGAGGAAUGACAUGGCAGAGAGAGGGAGAGAGAGAGAGAGAUCAACGAGAGG
ensembl:lncRNA